rnacentral:rRNA from 1 species
UACGGAGGAUCCAAGCGUUUAUCCGGAAUCAUUGGGUUUAAAGGGUCCGUAGGCGGCUUUAUAAGUCAGUGGUGAAAUCCGGCAGCUCAACUGUCGAACUGCCAUUGAUACUGUAGGGCUUGAAUUAUUGUGAAGUAACUAGAAUAUGUAGUGUAGCGGUGAAUGCUUAGAUAUUACAUGGAAUACCAAUUGCGAAGGCAGGUUACUAACACUACAUUGACGCUGAUGGACGAAAGCGUGGGGAGCGAACAGG